UACGUAGGGGGCAAGCGUUGUCCGGAAUCAUUGGGCGUAAAGCGCGUGUAGGCGGCCCGGUAAGUCCGCUGUGAAAGUCGGGGGCUCAACCCUCGAAUGCCGGUGGAUACUGUCGGGCUAGAGUGCGGAAGAGGCGAGUGGAAUUCCUGGUGUAGCGGUGAAAUGCGCAGAUAUCAGGAGGAACACCGAUGGCGAAGGCAGGUCUCUGGGCCGAUACUGACGCUGAGGAGCGAAAGCGUGGGGAGCAAACAGG
rnacentral:rRNA from 1 species